AGUGAACGCUGGCGGUAGGCCUAACACAUGCAAGUCGAACGGCAGCACAGUAAGAGCUUGCUCUUACGGGUGGCGAGUGGCGGACGGGUGAGGAACACAUCGGAAUCUACUUUUUCGUGGGGGAUAACGUAGGGAAACUUACGCUAAUACCGCAUACGACCUACGGGUGAAAGCAGGGGAUCUUCGGACCUUGCGCGAUUGAAUGAGCCGAUGUCGGAUUAGCUAGUUGGCGGGGUAAAGGCCCACCAAGGCGACGAUCCGUAGCUGGUCUGAGAGGAUGAUCAGCCACCCUGGAACUGAGACACGGUCCAGACUCCUACGGGAGGCAGCAGUGGGGAAUAUUGGACAAUGGGCGCAAGCCUGAUCCAGCCAUACCGCGUGGGUGAAGAAGGCCUUCGGGUUGUAAAGCCCUUUUGUUGGGAAAGAAAAGCAGCAGGUUAAUACCCCGCUGUUCUGACGGUACCCAAAGAAUAAGCACCGGCUAACUUCGUG
rnacentral:rRNA from 1 species